CAACAUAAUUGCGGUCUGUGCACAACCGCAGUCCUUCCUGCAUUGUCUCAUUAGCUAACCACUCUUCUAACUUGGGGGAAGUUGUGACAUAAUAGAUGAUCCCCUUCACAUAGUAAGUGGUGAGAAUUUUCCGGAGAUCAAAGACUUGCAGCAUGGAUGCCGCACUGUUGUCUGUGAUACUAUAACCCUCCAGAACAUACUUUGUGACAAGC
rnacentral:lncRNA from 1 species